GUUAAAUAAUAAAUCAUUAAGUGUAUUAUACAUAUUAAUCUUGAAAUUCUUGAUUUUUUUCUCUUUUUGUGACAAUUUUGACCCUUUGACCGAGUUUGGCCGAUUUUAACCGAGUUGGCUGAGUUUGACCGAGUAGGCCCGAGUAAGACCGAGUAAUACGGAGUAGGCUCGAGUUAGAGAGAUGUUGACCGAUUUUUGACUGAGUUUGACUUAAUCCGAGUUUUUUUGCUGAGUUCACAUUACUCGCCUCGGUGGAGGGCCGAUUCCGAGUAAUCGGCCGAGUAGGCCGAGUUUUGCAACACUGUCCCUCUCUAUUCGAUUAGGGCUUGACUUACUCUCUUAAUCAGGUAAGAACAUCCAGCCUCCCUCUUUAAUUCCAGCUGCACAUUAUCCUACGUUUUUAUAUUAGAAAAUGAAGCAUCUACAUCAGGAACAAGAACACCAUCAUUGAACAAAAGGUAUUAAAUUCAAUCACAGUUAUUCUGUAUGUUCGUGUUUCUUGAUUCUUUGAUUAUAUGGUGGUCGGAAGUUUGUUCUAAAUUUACAAGUGUUUUCAGUGGUAACACUUUCUCCAAUAAGUUUGAUCAUCAAGAUGGGUUUGGGGGAGAGGAGAGAAGAUAUUUCUUAGAACUCAUGUAUAAGGUAUUACCAAACGAAAAUAGUACCUUCUUAUAUGGUAUUAGCAAAUUACACAUAUACAAAAUACUUAAUCAUUAUGGACCCUAGAUAAUAACCACAGUCUACAUUACAAGGAAAAAUUCUUGAGGUUUAUGGGCAACAGGGAUCAAGCAAGACAACAGUGGCUCUGAAUGUAAUCAAGGAAGCCCAAAAAUCUUAGAGGUACUUUUAGAGUGAUCUUGGAGAUUUGUCUUGGAUUUGAUAUGAUUAAAAACUCAAUUAACAGUUUGGGAUUAUCUACAAAUAAUGUCUCACUCGGUUAAAUAGUAAACAUUUCACUUGAAAAUUUGAUAUUUCAUUCUAACACAAUUAAACACUGUUGAAACAUAAAAGUGACCCUUUUGAACUUAUCUACCGCAACGGUUCAGUACCUGCAGCCAAUUCAGCACCAGAGUCAAUCUCUACAACUGAGACCGCAACCAUUCUCCAUCAGCAACCAUAUCAGCAUCCGGAGUAUUCAAGUCUUUCCUAUCCGCAGUCUUAGUUAUUUCUUUUACUAUGUAAUUCACUCUAUUGUCCAGCAUGUCUUGCACGACUGCUCAUAGAGUUGUUCUUUUCUAAACUCUAUAAAUAGAGACUCUUUCUUAUGUAUUAUGUACUGGUGAUAUAUCUGAGUGUGAAAACUCUUAACUUCUUAAUACAUAAGGUUUCUCAUUCAA